UACAGAGGGUGCGAGCGUUAAUCGGAAUUACUGGGCGUAAAGCGUGCGUAGACGGUUAUUUAAGUCGGAUGUGAAAGCCCCGGGCUCAACCUGGGAAUUGCAUUCGAGACUGAAUAGCUAGGGUGCGGUAGAGGGAAGCGGAAUUUCCGGUGUAGCGGUGAAAUGCGUAGAUAUCGGAAGGAACAUCAGUGGCGAAAGCGGCUUCCUGGACCAAUACUGACGCUCAGGUGCGAAAGCGUGGGGAGCAAACAGG
rnacentral:rRNA from 1 species